rnacentral:rRNA from 1 species
CAGUCGAGCGGAACGAUUUAUCUGAACCUUCGGGGGACGAUAACGGCGUCGAGCGGCGGACGGGUGAGUAAUGCCUAGGAAAUUGCCCUGAUGUGGGGGAUAACCAUUGGAAACGAUGGCUAAUACCGCAUGAUGCCUACGGGCCAAAGAGGGGGACCUUCGGGCCUCUCGCGUCAGGAUAUGCCUAGGUGGGAUUAGCUAGUUGGUGAGGUAAGGGCUCACCAAGGCGACGAUCCCUAGCUGGUCUGAGAGGAUGAUCAGCCACACUGGAACUGAGACACGGUCCAGACUCCUACGGGAGGCAGCAGUGGGGAAUAUUGCACAAUGGGCGCAAGCCUGAUGCAGCCAUGCCGCGUGUGUGAAGAAGGCCUUCGGGUUGUAAAGCACUUUCAGUCGUGAGGAAGGCAGUGUAGUUAAUAGCUUUGUU